CCCUUAGAUGUUCUGGGCCGCACGCGUGCUACACUGAGUAAUUCAAUGGGUAAGGGAACGCGAGAGCAUUACCUAAUCUUGAAAUUUGCUCGUGAUGGGGAUCGACGGUUGCAAUUUUCCGUCGUGAACGAGGAAUACCUUGUAGGCGCAUGUCAUCAUCAUGCGCCGAAUACGUCCCUGCCCUUUGUACACACCGCCCGUCGCUCCUACCGAUUGAGUGAUCCGGUGAGGCUCUGGGACCUGGACGGAAAGAGCGUUUCGCUUGUUCUGUUUGGGAAACUUGGUCGAACCUUAUCAUUUAGAGGAAGGAGAAGUCGUAACA
rnacentral:rRNA from 1 species